AACGAACGCUGGCGGCAUGCCUAACACAUGCAAGUCGAACGAGACCUUCGGGUCUAGUGGCGCACGGGUGCGUAACGCGUGGGAACCUGCCCUUAGGUUCGGAAUAACUCCCCGAAAGGGGUGCUAAUACCGGAUAAUGUCUUCGGACCAAAGAUUUAUCGCCUUUAGAUGGGCCCGCGUUGGAUUAGCUAGUUGGUAGGGUAAAAGCCUACCAAGGCGACGAUCCAUAGCUGGUCUGAGAGGAUGAUCAGCCACACUGGGACUGAGAACCCGCCCAGACCUCCUCCGGGGGGAGGAGGGGGGGAAUAUUGAACAGGGGGCAAAGGCUUAACCAAGCAGUGCGGGGUGAGUAAUGAGGCCCUGGGGGUUGAAAAGUUUUUUCCCCCGGGAGGAAAAGGACGGUCCCGGGAAAAAAGCCCCCGGCUACCCCCGUC
rnacentral:rRNA from 1 species